GACGAACGCUGGCGGCGUGCCUAACACAUGCAAGUCGAACGAAAAGAGGAGAAGAUCUUUCUUUUUCCGGAAGUGAGUGGCAAACGGGUGAGUAACACGUAAACAACCUGCCAGCAGGAGGGGAACAACAGACGGCAAAGACUACUAAUAACGAAUAAGUGCCAAGCACGGCUUGGCCGAUAAAGAAAAAGUUGCCCUCUCCUUGUAAUCUAUCCGCUGAACAGGGGCUUGCGUGUGAUUUGCCGGUUGGGGAGGGAACGGCCCAACAAGCGGACGAUGAGUAGGCGGACUGAGAGGAGGAACUGCCAAACUGGAACUGGGAAACGGUCCAGAACCCUAAGGGAGGCAGCAGUGGGGGAUCCUCCGGAAUGGGGGAAAGGCUGAAGGGGGAACGCCGGGGGAGUGAUGGAGGCCUUCGGGUUGUAAAAAUUUGGGAACCGGGGAGAAAAGGAAGAGUGCGAAGAAGAGAAUGUAUUGACGGUACCGGAAAAGAAAGCCACGGCUAACUACGUG
rnacentral:rRNA from 1 species